CGGGGCCGGAAGUGGCGGCGGCCCGGCCGAAUUCGGCGGCGCCACGUCUGGCUUGGGUUUCCUCUCCCUGCCCGGGGCGGCGGCGCUGGGAACAGCGGGCGGAGCGCGGCUGGACCCUCGCCUCGCUUCUUCCUUAGCGGCCGCUUCGUAGCGAGGCCUCGGGCGGCGGCCGGGUGCGGCAGCGGCGACAUGUCGGACCUGGGGGACUGGUUCCGGAGCAUCCCGUUGAUCACCCGCUACUGGUUCGCCGGCUCCAUUGCGGUGCCGCUCAUCGGCAAGCUGGGCCUUGUCAGCCCCGUCUACCUCUUCCUAUGGCCCGACGCCUUCAUCAACCGCUUCCAAAUCUGGCGGCCGAUAACUGCAACUUUCUUCUUCCCAGUGGGACCUGGAACAGGAUUUCUGUACUUGGUGAAUUUGUAUUUCUUGUAUCAAUAUUCGUCACGAUUAGAAACAGGAGCUUUUGAUGGAAGGCCAGCAGAUUACAUGUUCAUGCUCCUGUUUAACUGGAUCUGCAUUGUUAUAACUGGCUUGGCAAUGGACAUGCAGUUGCUGAUGAUUCCACUCAUCAUGUCAGUACUUUAUGUGUGGGCCCAGCUGAACAGAGACAUGAUCGUAUCAUUUUGGUUUGGAACAAGAUUUAAGGCCUGUUACCUUCCAUGGGUUAUUCUGGGAUUCAACUACAUCAUUGGUGGAUCAGUCAUCAAUGAGCUGAUAGGAAAUCUGGUUGGACACCUGUAUUUCUUUUUAAUGUUUAAAUAUCCAAUGGAUUUGGGAGGAAGGAAUUUUCUCUCCACACCUCAGUUCCUGUACCGCUGGCUGCCAAAUAGGAGAGGAGGAGUGUCGGGGUUUGGUGUCCCACCUGCUAGCAUGAGAAGAGCUGCAGAAGACCCACAGGGUGGUGGAAGACACAACUGGGGCCAAGGUUUCCGGCUAGGUGACCAGUGAAGAACUCCUGCCUUUGGAAAAUGGCAACUCUCUGGUUUUAAUAGGACGUAGAACCGACCCUUCCUGGUGCAGAGCAUGUUUAAGAACCAGGCUCUCUGCAGUACUGUUGGAUUUAACUGAUCAGAAAGAAUGUUUCUGGUUCAAGAGAAAAUUAAAAAGUCCAGAAGGCAAAAAUGUAGAUCUUGCUCCAGGUUAGCCAGUAGUGUCCAAUUUGAUUCUGCCAUUAAAAAAAGCCUUCUUUAUACAGUAUUGUCUGUCUGUUGCAGUGGGCAUCCAUUAUGCAGUCUUGUUCCAUGAAUGUGAUGGAGCAAGGUAAUGGUGUUCUGUCUCACCUGGUACGUUAAAAGCUUUGUUGACCGUGGUAAGUUAAGAAUCCAAUGUGAGGCAGAUGGAUCAAACUAACCCCAAAGUUUAGGAAGCUGACUUUUUCCACAGCUGUGCUUAAGUCCCUGCGCCUUUGGAAACAUUAUUUAAGUGAUGUCUCUACUGCAUUCAUAAAGCAAAGUGCAAAUAUUUCAUUUCCAUUAUUAAGCUAUGUUUUAAGGGGAGUUUUUUCUUACAGUGCAGCAUUUUCCUGCCUGCUACAGCACAGGCUGGGCAAGACCAGGGAUAAGAGGGCUUUCAUUUGAAAUGGCAAUAACAGAUAUUCACAGAAUUUAAAUCUCUGAGCUCUUCAUCGCAUGUUACAAGGCUUGCUGUUUAAACUGAAGUUGUCUAGCUUGUGUGGUUGGUUUUUUUUUUUUCCCUGAGAUCUGUGAAUUCUUGGCUUCAAGGUUUCUAUUUUGAUUGCAAAAUUGGGUAGCACAAAUAACAUUUAAACUAGAAAAUGUAACAUAUCAUUGUGGUUAAUGUAAAGGGUAUUAACUGCAGCAUUAUGUUUGUUAACUGCAUCUUCAAAUUUCUCUUCAAAGCUUUAAGACCUCAAAGAAUUAAAGCUGGAAAUAAAGUUUUCCAGGGUCAAGAUACAAUAGAACAGAUUGCUUUACUAUGGGACUCUUUCACUGUCAAAUAAGAAAUUAUGUACACUGUUUAUUAGUAUUUACGUUUUUUGGUAGAAAUUUUUGACAUGGAAAAGGGAAUGAUUCUGUAGAGUAGUUUUCCUUGUACUGGGUUCUCGUGGGCAGAGCACAGGACUAAGACCAAGGAAGCUGUAAUGCUAGCUUAUUACUGACCGCAUGGACUUGAGCAAACUUCUUUCUUACUUCAGUUUUCCCAGCUGUAAGGAGGACUCAUUUGUCUCAUAGCAUUCUUAAAAGGUAGCUGUCCCCGACUCCCCUAGGUAGGUGCUUCUAGUGAGCAAGGUAAGGCUUAGGUUCACGUAAAUGACAACCAUUAAAUUAGGAAUGCAGUUACUCUAAGCUUAACCAAGACUUCAAAGUUGGAAUAUAGUUGCUCACUUUUUGUUUUCUAGUUGGAGGAGGAAAAGCAUCGUCACUAGGAUGAGAUUCAAGUCUCUGACCGAAUUUCCCAUCAGCAUUUUUUCUUUUUACUAGGUAGGUGGGGCACAGAAAGUUGUUCUACCCCAACUUGGGUAUCUCAGGUAUCUGUAAGUGGAGUGAAUCUGGGCCAAAACAUUUUUAUUGCUACUUUGUUUCUUCACUAAACCUGGGUUCUGAAGGUUUAAAAACUUGUAAAUACUAUGUGAUGUGAAACUGAGUGGGAAAUAAACAGUCAGACUGGAAGUUUUCAUCUGGCUUGCUUGAAAAAAAUACAUGCUACCUUUCUUCACUGCAGGUUAAUUUUGUUGAUUCAGCUUGUGGAAAACCGUAGAAAACUGGUAAUGAUCAUAUUGCGUGCUUACAUUUUACAGGAACUUGGAGUUCAGAAAUCACCUGCCAUUUUUGUUUGUUCAGUGAUGAAGUUUAAAGAUGCUCUUGUCUUUUUAUAAAAUGCUUAAGACAAACCUUGUGAUCUGUCCAUCUCCAGGGAAUGUCUGACAGCUGUACUGUGACACCACCUUCUGCUGUUGAUAAAAGUACUCAAGAAAAUGACCUGCUUUUGGGUAGGAGCCUUGUCUUCUCUGAUCAACUGCAAAAUUGUAAAGGCGUUUUCUUUAUCGCCAUGAGUCUUGACAGUCUGUGUCCUUCCUGGCCGAUUACAAAAAAAAGCUGUAAAAUGCUAUACUUGAUUAUACUCUGUUGUCCUUUGGGAGGAAGUACGCUCCUACUCACCCUCAAACUGUGUGAAAUUGAUAGAGAUUAGUUACUUUUCCAGGGAUAAGCUUGGUAUUCUGCAAUACUCGCUGUCCAGGCAGAUCUGCACUGCUGCCAGAGUUCCUUUUGAGGCUCUUAUCUCAGCUGAUUUGGAGACUUGUUGAGCAUCCUCUGAAUGACUCUUCUGGUCCUCAUUGUUCGUGUGACUGCAUUUCUCCUGUUUGUUACCAUAGAGGCACCAAAGAAGAUCAUGGACUUGGUACAUAAGGCACUCUGUGAAUUUGUUGUGCUUCUUGAGCUGGAAAGUCUUGGUCCAUACUAUACACCAGACAACAGCAUGGCAAGUGUGCGCGUUUUGAUUUUGCUCCAGCUGCAUUAGGAGUCAGCAGAAGAGCCAAGAAUACGAAAUCAAAUGCUUCUAAAAUGCUUCAUCUUUCAUUCCUAUCACUUUGUCUGGAUGACAGCUCCUCUCUCAACACAACUCGGUAAUGUGGCGUUGCUGGAAACUGGACCUGUUGCUUCAUUCUGUCAUCUGAUUGUCACAUUAGGAAAACUGAGAGGCUUUAAUUUUCAGAGUAGCAUAUUGUUUGCAAUACAACCUAAGAUUCUUUCUGUGUUUAUAUACCACUGUGUACCUUAUCAAGGAGGAAAACUGCUUUGCCUUGAUGGUUAAGGUAGCGAGCUGAAGAGAUAGACACUAAUUUACAGUCUGAAGCUUCUGAUAUAACAAGUCACCUAAUGGCUUUUUAAUCCUGUUAUGCAUCCAUGAAAUGAAGACGAUUCAUAUUCUCCCUUGUUCCAUGCUAGGCUUAGGAUGAUGGAUCAAUUUGUACUUGCUGUAGUAUGGCACAGCACUAAUUUUGGUGAAGAUGUUCUUAGCAGUGUCAUCCCUUGCAGUAGUAAAUGGCUUUUCUUGUUUUGUGCA